GAACUCUAACAUGUGUGCGAGUGUUAUAGCCUUUGGUAGAUGUGAUUAUCGGGAUUGAGGAUUGCAACGGAUACCCUUCGGGGCUACCUGUCUGAUCUCUGAUCGUUGCUCUGGUGCCGAAAGCGUGCUUACGGUUAUCAAAGUCGAUGGUACAAAAGGUUG
rnacentral:rRNA from 1 species